rnacentral:rRNA from 1 species
UACGUAGGGGGCAAGCGUUGUCCGGAUUUAUUGGGCGUAAAGAGCGUGUAGGCGGCUUGACAGGUCUGCUGUGAGAACUCGAGGCUCAACCUCGAGAUGUCGGCGGAAACCGUCUGGCUAGAGUCCGGAAGAGGAGAGUGGAAUCCUGGUGUAGCGGUGAAAUGCGCAGAUAUCAGGAAGAACACCUAUGGCGAAGGCAGCUCUCUGGGCAUUAACUGACGCUGAGGAGCGAAAGCAUGGGGAGCGAACAGG